CCGACCCUCUCUCUCCUGUUCGCCCGAUUUCGAGGUCUCGCGAUCCGAUUCCCCUCUGAUAUCUCCCGCUUCUGAUGGGCUGACGUUGAAGCCGAUCGAUUCAUUCGAAGAUUUGUUGUUCUUGAUUCGGUUUUCGCGGUGCUGGGGAUUAGGGUGUGGUUGUUGGAUUUGAAGAGCAUCGACGAUGCCUUCGGUGCUCGGGGAAUUCUUCCACAGGCGAGCGGCGGGCGCGGCAGCCACGAUCUCCUCCCAGACCUCGUUCCAUGGCGGUUCUAGUAGUUGUUCCCAUCGUCUGAAACAGUUGGAGAAGUGGAAUCGUCGUGGUAAUCUCUAACAUUAGGUCCCCAAGGGUAGAUCUCACCCUCGUCCUUCACUCCUUUGGGAUUUCUCCUUGCUUUCUUCGUCGUCUUGUUCGUCCUUCUUCUUCUUCUUCUUCUCCGUUUCUGGGUUUGUCAGCAAUUCGCCUUAUUCUUGGAAUUUGCAUCUGAAUCUGAGUGUGCUCCUCGGGGAACGCCGGGGUUGUUUCCUUGGGUUUGGGCUUUGGAUUAGAGGAGUCAGGAGCUUUUGCGUUAUUUGCUGUUGUUCGCGGAGAUUACAGCGUUCUCGGUUGAGAUUUCAUCACAGCAAUCCCUGGAUGGGAAGAUCCACACCUUGUGCAAGUCCAACUUCUGAUGAUGCUGGCUGCAAAUUAUCUUUCUUCAGUGCUAACUAUAAGCAAUCAUGCAUGGAACAAGACCAGCGUACUUAUGGUAUUAUGGAAAAGAAUGUGAAGGGAAUGUCUUUGGAGGACAUUGAUAUUUCCUCUAUAACUGAGAAUGGUGAUUUGAGCAUUCAAGAACUUGGAGUCACUUUUAAUGAAGUCCUGCAUAUUCGUGAGAGCCAUGAGUGUUUGGAUAACAGUAAUGUCAUGUUAAAUCAGGAUGAGUUCUGCACUGACACUGAAAUGCACUCUCUCUCUGUUGAUACAAAUAUGUUAAAAGGUUUAAGCAAAUGUGAAACAAUGUUAUUCUCAGAGUUAGAGAUGUUGCAAUCACGUCCUUUAGACAUAGAUGUAGGAGAGGGAUCAUCAAGAACAGUAGUGCAUAUUGAGGGUUCUUCUAAGCCUGUUGAGCUAUCUAGAACCUGCCUUGCAAUUACCAUGUUUCCGUGUGUCCAGGCCAUCAACAAGCAUCAAAUUGAAGACUACUGCAAAGUUGGUGUCUGCCAUGAAAGGAAGUCGUAAACAAGAGGGGCUGCUCCCGAAGAUAAAGUUGAGCCUGAAGUGGGCGCCAGAUGUCUAUGACCCACCCUCAACAUCUGAGUCACACACAGUAAAGGGUCAUCGCCAUCAUUCCGAGUCCAUAAAAAGGGAUUAUUACAAGCACAAGCAUACCAGGAGCAAGUCCUCUCGAGGGAGCGGUGGUGACCUUAAACAUGCUUACAGGAGAAGUGCUAGCAAUUCAAUCAAUCGUCGAAUCUUGAGGUUCCGAGUGGUUGAUGAUAGAUCCACAAUAAAUGAUCGUGGUCGGUCCGAUGGGGAGGUCCUGGACUUUGCAGUUAGGACCCAAGAAUUGAAGUGUGGAAGCAACUUCUGCAUGGAUUCACUUUCUGCAGACCAUUUUCCAGUUGCCAACGCAUCCUGAGUGAGUGGAAACUUUUAGACCGUGAAGCAACGCUUUUCUUUGCUUAUGAAUAAAGAUCACGACUGCCGGCAUGCAGAAUAGUUGUUUGAUUCAUCUUUCUUGGACAUCCAGAGCUGAAUUCUCUGUUUGUUGGUUGAUAAUAUGCACCAUCGACAGUGAUUCUCUUGUUUGUCUGUCCUCAUAGAACUGAAGACAAUCGAUUUAAUUAUUGAGAGCAGUCUGUUGUUUUAAUAAUUCAUGCCAAUUGGAACAAUUCUUUGCUGGCCGUCUCCCGUUGGUGACCCGGAGAGGAGCUGGAAGGAGUAGAUUUUUUGUUCUGAUGCGAGGUUGAUUUAUGCUUCACCGGAUGGGUGGCUGACAUGGUUGGCGCUCGGGAGGUGGGCACAUCGAGCACGGUCGAGUCCUCGGGCCCAUGGUUAAAUUGGAAACGCCUUGAACCAUACCGAGUUGUAUCAAAAUAUUUUUAAGUAGACUAUCAAAAUGAUUAAAUAGGUGUUCUUCUGAUCAACUUUUUUUUCUUAAAUAAAUUAGUGUCGUGCCAACUUUUUUUGGUAAUGGUGAUUGGUGGGACAUUGCCUGUACCUGAACGGGAGGGUCUGUACGUUAGAUUUUGUCGUGUUUUGCACGUUGUAUGGACUCGCACAUGAUCGGUAAUUACAAAAACCAGAUAAACAGAA